rnacentral:lncRNA from 1 species
AACAACUUAACUCAGGUUGGAAUAUCCAAUGACGUGGACAUAGUUUACUUUUUCGAAGACAUCUGCACGUGUCGUGAGUUCCAACUAAACCGUAUGCCAUGUGUUCAUACAACUUGUGCUGCUUGCUUGAGAGGAAAGUCUAUAUAUGGCCUUUGCUCCCCUUAUUACACAUCUGAAUACUGGAGGGGUGCCUAUAGUUAAGCUAUAUAUCCUACUGGACGUAAAGUGGACUGAGUUGUUCCGAGCUUAAUUAUAUUUACUCUUAUUUUGCCACCACUCGUACAUCGCCCUCCAGGUAGACGACCG